rnacentral:misc_RNA from 1 species
CAUGGCACACAGUACACAGUUCUUAA